ACUACUAGUAGUACGUAUUAAGAGUACUAGUACUACUGCUAGUAGUACAUACUUGUAGUGCUAGUAUGUACUACUAGUA
rnacentral:tRNA from 1 species